UACGAAGGGGGCUAGCGUUGUUCGGAAUUACUGGGCGUAAAGGGCGCGUAGGCGGUCCUUCAAGUCAGGCGUGAAAGCCCCGGGCUCAACCUGGGAACCGCGCUUGAGACUGGCGGGCUAGAGUUCGGGAGAGGAUGGUGGAAUUCCCAGUGUAGAGGUGAAAUUCGUAGAUAUUGGGAAGAACACCAGUGGCGAAGGCGGCUCACUGGCCCGGUACUGACGCUGAGGCGCGAAAGCGUGGGGAGCAAACAGG
rnacentral:rRNA from 1 species